UACGGAGGGGGCUAGCGUUGUUCGGAAUUACUGGGCGUAAAGGGCGCGUAGGCGGCGCGAUAAGUUGGGCGUGAAAGGCCCGGGCUCAACCCGGGGACUGCGCUUGAUACUGUCGCGCUGUGAGUCCGGGAGAGGAUGGCGGAAUUCCCAGUGUAGAGGUGAAAUGCGCAGAUAUCAGGAGGAACACCGGUGGCGAAGGCGGUUCUCUGGGCAUUACCUGACGCUGAGGAGCGAAAGUGUGGGGAGCGAACAGG
rnacentral:rRNA from 1 species